rnacentral:rRNA from 1 species
AUGUCCAACAAGGAGGAGCUCCUGGUCCAAGAAUCCACCACCGCGAUCAUCCCCAGCACCAAUCGCUCCCCUCCCACCACCCGAUUGGCCCGUUUCCUCCUGCCUCGCGCGGACGGCGCUCGUCUCCCGGCCCUGCCAUCCCCGUCACGCAAUGGCGGCCCCGUUCUUGGCGAGGAGCUCCGCGUGGAAUGGAGGGGCUGGCCCGGCUCCUCGAAGCUGUGGAUACGGUGGGUGGCCAAGCUUCGGCCGCAGCACGAGGGCCUGUGGCGGAGAGUCGGUAUCUUCGACGCCAUUCUCGCGACCACACGCCGGGUGCGGCGUGACGAGGGCCUUCUGCUCCAGCUCAUGGCGUUCUGGUCCAAAGAGACCAGCACCUUCGUCUUCCCGUGGGGCGAGGCCACGGUGACGCUGGAGGACAUGGCCGUGCUUGGGGGGCUGCCACUGUUGGGCAAGCCCGUGAGCGCGGAGCUGCCGGAUGCGCUGUGCGGGGAAGUGGCCGCGCUCAAGGCCACUCGGAGCGCUGUGAACCGGAGCAAGAGCAGGAAAGCGAAGUAUUCCAUCUGGGCAAAGUACUUUUUGGACCGGCCACGGGAGGAUGAUGUCGCCGGCGGCCGCAGCGGAGAAGACGCGGCUGGCAGAUUGCUCGAGCACGGGGCAUUCUUGGCCAUGUGGCUCUCCGCCUACGUGCUCCCGUCGCGCCCGUUCGACGUGGUUCAGGCGCGGGUGUUCCCCAUCGCCGCUCAGCUGGCACGCGGCCAGAGUGUGGCCCUCGCACCCGCCGCGCUCGCUGGCAUCUACAGUUGCCUCUCCACGCUCGCCGGGUGCGCGCCACUCCAAAUCCUCCAGCUCUGGGUCUGGGAGUAUUUCCCGGAGCUUCGCCCAGAGAAGCAGGUUUCCCCGGACAACAACGACGACGGCGUGCCGGCCAGAGCUGCACAGUGGCACAACGUUGCAAAGGCGUUCAACCCCAUCUACAUCCAUGCAGUGUUCAUGUCACCAGAGAAGUUUGAGUGGAUGCCGUACGGCAGCAGCAGCAGCAGCUUCGGUCUGCCACCCGGCAAUGGUGGGCGCACAGUCCAUGGCCAGGACAUCGCAAGAAGCGAUAAGCUUCUGUCCAUGGCGCUAUGUCUGCGCCCUUGCGAGCUCGUGGGCAUCGACUGCAUCGAGCAGUACUGUCCUCAUCGCGUCGCGAGGCAGCUGGGCUUCGAUCAGGACGUGCCGGGGGACGUCCGCCGUGUCAACUCAGAUUCCGGGGCCGCGUGGGCGACGUAUGAGAUGGAGGCCGGAGCUGUUGCGUUCAUCGCUCCGCAAGAGAAUGCACAACCUCAAGAUAACAUUCCACCAGUGGAAAAUUUGGCGAAUGCGCAAGCUAUUGUCGUUGAUCUGCGGUCAACAUCUGAGGACAUCAUGGCCAUCAGCAACGACGAGUCCGAUGAAGAAUCUGAAAUGGAUGUUGAGGUGGAUGCAAAUGCAACAGCUAAAUUGAAAUUGGUAACAUCGUCAGUGGAGACAGUGGUCUGUACUAGAUCACUCUACUAUCUUAGGCCAUUUGAGCUGGCCAAAGAUGGUCAGCCGAGUGCAGGCAGGACAAAUUCGGAUCAAGGGAUUUUCCAACCAAAACGGGAAGUGGGGACGGCUGAAAUGAUCAAGCAGGCGUCCAAAGCACAAGAUUUAGGUGGCACUGUUUCGCGCUGCUGUGUAGCUUUUGCUGUUGCUCGUUGUUUGAACUUCCUUUAG